rnacentral:misc_RNA from 1 species
AUUUGAAAGAAAAGUAUGAGCCUAUGUAUAAAAUUUUAUUCUAGUACCGACUGAAGUAAGUUUACAAGUUGUUCCAUUGAAUGAUAAAGAAACUAAUACUCACAACAAUAUCCAAUGUCAUUUAUGUGCAAAAAAAUUUGCCACAGGUUUUAGCCUCAGAAGGCACUUAAAAAGUCAACAUGUAAACAUUGAAGAAGAUAAACCCACCAAAAAGCAAAGUAUUAAAGUUAGUCAUGAAAGUCAAGGAAAUGAAGAAAAAAAAAUUGUUCAAACAAAAAUAAGGGGCAUAAAGUAUUAGGAAUUGUCAAAACUUCAGUGAAACAUGUGGAAUUCAUUCCAAAACCAGAUCAAAUUGUUGAAGUUUUAUUACAGAGCAAUAACCAAGGUCGUAAAAGUGGAAACAAAAGUCAAGAAUAUGGCUGCUUACAGGAUAAAACAUCAUCAGCUACACAAAAACAUAUGAAAAAACAUCAGAAAAAACAAAGAAAUAAUGGAAAAAAAAGGUUAAAUCAAUUGAGAUGCUUGGAAGAAAUGUGCCAUUUUAACUGUACUAGAUUAAAAAGCCUUCGUUAUCAUUUAGAGUUGAAACAUAAUAUUUUGCAAGAAGUGGAAGUACUACAGUUUGAAAGCAUUGAAGAAUUUAAAAAAUGGAAAAAUCAGGAGGAAAGCAAAUGUGUGGCAGUAUGGGUAAAAGCAUGUGGUAUUAAAAAAAAUAGACAAGGUGCACCUAUUUAUUACUAUUGUAAUCGAACUGGUAAAAGGAAAGUUUUGGCAGCAGCAAAAAGGAAACGUGCCCUAAAAGGGCAAGGCUCAUGCAAAAUUAAUGCUUCCUGUACUUCAGCCCUGAUAAUUAAGCAUAUUUCUCAAGGUGUAAAAGUAACCUAUUUUAAAAAUCAUUAUGGGCAUGAAAAAAAAAUGGCCUAUAUUUCAUUAUCCAUAAAUGAUAAAAAUAAGAUAGCACAACAAUUGAUACAAGGCAUUCCUUACACACAAAUAUUAAAUAAUAUUCGGGAAAGUGUGGAUGAAACUUUUGAAAGGAUUCACUUGACCACUAAGAAUGACAUCCAUAAUAUUGCCCAAGCUUACAAUUUACAUGAUACAUCCAUAAAGGAUCCCAAUGAUGCCAUAAGCAUUGCCAUGUGGGUUGAUGAAAUGCAAAAAUCAGAAAAAAAUCCUGUAAUUUUAUAUAAGAAGCAAGGAGAAUUGGACUCAGGAUUGUCUUUAAAAAAAGAGGAUUUUUUGUUGGGAAUCAUGACAAGAUGCCAAGGUCAGAUGCUACAAAAAUUUGGGUCUGGAGGCAUUAUUUGUAUGGAUGCAACGCAUGGAACUAAUCCUUAUGAUUUUAAUUUAAUUACUGUUUUGGUAGUCGAUGAUUAUGGUGAAGGCUUUCCUGUUGGAUUUUUGUUUGCUAAUAGGGAGGAUUAUGUAGUAUUAAAAUAUUUUAUUUUGGCUUUAAAAAGUAGCAUAGGAAAUAUAAGAGCAACUACAUUUAUGAGUGACGAUGCCGACCAAUAUUUUGCUGCAUGGAGUUCUGUAAUGGAUGUUUCUGAUACCAAAAAGCUUUUAUGCAUAUGGCAUAUCGACAGAGCUUGGCGUUCCAAAAUAUCAUUAAUUUAAGAUAAAUCAAAACAAAUUGAGGUUUAUAAGAUGUUGUGUUUCCUUCGGCAAGAACCAAAUGCAAAUAAUUUUAAAGCAUCAUUAGGAAGCUUUAUUGAAAUGUUACAAAUGGAUCAAGAUCUAAAAGUUUUUGGUGAAUACUUCCUGGUCAAUUAUGCAAGAAGAUCCUCAACAUGGGCUAUGUGUUUCCGAGCUGGCUUAUCUAUUAACACGAAUAUGUAUUUGGAAUCCAUGCACAAAGUGCUGAAAUACAUAUAUCUAAAAGGGACAACUUGCAGGAGAUUGGACAAAACUGUGGAUGUACUAUUAAAGUAUAUCAGAGACAAGCAAUUCGGUAGGAUUAUAAAGCUGGAAAAAGGAAAAAUAACACACAAAAUCAGCAAAAUUAACAAAAGUCAUAUUGCAGCAGUAAAAGCAGAUAAUAUACAUAUAAUAAGUGUUGAAGAUGGUUGGAAAAUUCAAUCUGGGAAUAAUUUCUAUCUUGUGAAAUUGAAUGAAUUAGGUGAUCAUCAGUGCAAUUUAAAAUGUUCUUCAUGUAUGUCAUGUGUUCAUUCUUACACCUGUAACUGUAUGGAUUACGUAAUACACAACAACAUGUGCAAACAUAUACAUAAAUUGUGCAUGAGCGAAACUUGUAAUAAUAGCCCAAUGAAGAUAACUCAUCAUGAUAAUACAACAAACAAUAAUGAUGAACUGCAAAGCCACCUUCUUAGUUUAAAACAAUGUAAUAGUUCUGAAACCAUCAAGAAAAUAAGGGAAGAUAUCAGUUUUAUGUCUACUUUUGACUGGCCAUCAGUUGAUGAUGCUGCGUUAAGAAAAAUUAGUGGCCUCCUAACAUCAGUUAAGCAUAAUAUGAUAAAUAGUCAAGAAUCAUCAGCUCUAAUAACAGAAUCUAGUAAACACAAAGUUUGUCCUGCUAACAAGAAAAUCACUACACAACCUCGGUUCUUUUCUACAAAACUAAAGAAAAAGCCGAUGGCUCCCAAACUGGCAAAGCCUUCACAAGAAGAAAUUACAGAAAUAUGCUCAAGAUUCAAAGAGUUGCAAGAGAAUAAAUGAUUUACUACACACACACUUUAUGUAACUUUUUGAUUAAAUUAAAUCUGACAAAAUUGCA